rnacentral:rRNA from 1 species
CCGUUUGUGGUGUGAUGGCGUGCCUUUUGAAGAAUGAGCCUGCGAGUCAGCGGCAUGUCGCGAGGUUAACCCGUGUGGGGUAGCCGUAGGGAAACCGAAUCCUAACGAGGGUGUUUUAGUGGCAUGUCUUGGACCCGAAGCGGAGUGAUCUACCCAUGGCCAGUGUGAAGCAGCUGUAAGAGGUUGUGGAGGCGCGAACCCACUUAGGUUGAAAACUGAGGGGAUGAGUUGUGGGUAGGGGUGAAAGGCCAAUCAAACUCCGUGAUAGCUGGUUCUCCCCGAAAUGCAUUUAGGUGCAGCGUCGUGUGUUUCUUGCCGGAGGUAGAGCUACUGGAUGGUUUAGCGGGACCAACAUCUUAGCGACAUCAGCCAAACUCCGAAUGCCGGUAAGUCAGAGCACGGCAGUGAGACUGCGGGGGAUAAGCUUCGUAGUCGAGAGGGAAACAGCCCAGAUCGCCGGCUAAGGCCCCUAAGGGUGUGCUAAGUGGAAAAGGAGGUGGGGUCGCGAAGACAGCCAGGAGGUUGGCUUAGAAGCAGCCAUCCUUGAAAGAGUGCGUAAUAGCUCACUGGUCGAGUGAUUCCGCGCCGACAAUGUAGUGGGGCUUAAGUACACCGCCGAAGCCGCGGCAAUGAUCCUUAUAGGAUUGUUGGGUAGGGGAGCGUCGUGCAUGCGUUGAAGCUUUGGGGUGACCUUGGGUGGAGUGUGUGCGAGUGAGAAUGCAGGCAUGAGUAACGAUUGAUGCGUGAGAAACGUAUCCGCCGGAUGACUAAGGGUUCCUGGGUCAAGUUAAUCUUCCCAGGGUGAGUCGGGGCCUAAGGCGAGGCCGACAGGCGUAGUCGAUGGAUAACGGGUUGAUAUUCCCGUACCCGAGUAUGAGCGACCAUGGUGAAUCAGUGAUACUAACCAUCCAUAAGCACCCGCGAAAAGGCUUUGCUUUUUUGUGGUGUGUGGUUGCGUGGGACCUGAUCUGGUAGUAGCUAAGUGAUGGGGUGACGCAGGGAGGUAGCUCAGCCACUUAUUGGAUUGUGGUGUAAGCGUGUGGCACGCAGUGUAGGUCAAAUCCGCACUGUUUUUGUGUGAGGCGUGAUGCGGAGCCCGUAUAGGGUGAAGUGGGUGAUCCUGUGCUGUCGAGAAAAGCCUCUAGCGAUGUUGAUAUUCGGCCCGUACCCUAAACCGACACAGGUAGUCAGGUAGAGAAUACUAAGGCGUUCGGGUGAACUGUGGUUAAGGAACUCGGCAAAAUGCCCCCGUAACUUCGGGAGAAGGGGGGCCACGGCGUGUGAACAACUUUUCGUUGGGAGCGUGUUGUGGUCGCAGAGAAUAGAGGGAAGCGACUGUUUACUAAAAACACAGGUCCGUGCGAAGACGUUUAAGUUGAUGUAUACGGACUGACGCCUGCCCGGUGCUGGAAGGUUAAGAGGACCGGUUAGCCGUAAGGCGAAGCUGAGAAUUUAAGCCCCAGUAAACGGCGGUGGUAACUAUAACCAUCCUAAGGUAGCGAAAUUCCUUGUCGGGUAAGUUCCGACCUGCACGAAUGGCGUAACGACUUCCCUGCUGUCUCAACCACAGGCCCGGUGAAAUUGCAGUACGAGUAAAGAUGCUCGUUACGCGCGGCAGGACGAAAAGACCCCGGGACCUUCACUAUAGCUUGGUAUUGGUGUUUGAUUCGGUUUGUGUAGGAUAGGUGGGAGACUGUGAUCAUGUGACGCUAGUUGUGUGUGAGUCGUUGGUGAAAUACCACUCUGAUCGGAUUGGAUGUCUUAACCUUGGCCCAUGAUCUGGGUUGGGGACAGUGCCUGGUGGGUAGUUUAACUGGGGCGGUUGCCUCCUAAAAUGUAACGGAGGCGCCCAAAGGUUUCCUCAGCUUGGUUGGUAAUCAGGUGGUGAGUGUAAGUGCACAAGGGAGCUUGACUGUGACACUGACAGGUGGAGCAGGGACGAAAGUCGGGACUAGUGAUCCGGCACCUACUUGUGGUUGUGGUGUCGCUCAACGGAUAAAAGGUACCCCGGGGAUAACAGGCUGAUCUUCCCCAAGAGUCCAUAUCGACGGGAUGGUUUGGCACCUCGAUGUCGGCUCGUCGCAUCCUGGGGCUGGAGUAAGUCCCAAGGGUUGGGCUGUUCGCCCAUUAAAGCGGCACGCGAGCUGGGUUUAGAACGUCGUGAGACAGUUCGGUCUCUAUCCGCCGCGCGCGUUGAAACUUGAAGGAAGGCUGUCCCUAGUACGAGAGGACCGGGACGGACGUACCUCUGGUGUGCCAGUUGUUCCGCCAGGAGCAGGGCUGGUUGGCUACGUACGGGAGGGAUAACCGCUGAAAGCAUCUAAGCGGGAAGCCUGUUUCGAGAUGAGGUUUCUUUUGAGGUUCCCUAGAGAUUAUGGGGUUGAUAGGCCAGAUCUGGAAGCACUGUGAGGUGUGGAGGUGACUGGUACUAAUUUACCGAUAACAACAAACC